GAUGUGCCAGUCAUGCUUUUGGGCUUUCCUGGCCAGGGCGAGGGUGGCAGCCUCCCGUCGGAGGCCGGCCGGAGCUAUUCCCGCGAGGACUGGCAAGAGGGACACAGGGCUUGCCGCACUGCCUAUAAACUACAUCACCUGGUGCAUAGGCCGGACAGCCAAUCAGACGCCAGACACAGGGAGAUGAGGAGAUCUGGGCUCUUCUAAUCCAUUUUUACUCCCACAUAGGAGCAGCCGGCCAAUCAGAGACACGCCCAGGACCCAAUUGGCCCGGAAGGCAGUGGAGCAGAAGCAAAAGUGAGA